UAACAAGGAUUCCCCUAGUAACUGCGAGUGAAGCGGGAAAAGCUCAAAUUUAAAAUCUGGCAGCUUUGGCUGUCCGAGUUGUAAUCUGGAGAAGCGUCUUCCGCGCUGGACCGUGUACAAGUCUCCUGGAACGGAGCGUCAUAGAGGGUGAGAAUCCCGUCUUUGACACGGACUACCAGUGCUUUGUGAUGCGCUCUCAAAGAGUCGAGUUGUUUGGGAAUGCAGCUCAAAAUGGGUGGUAAACUCCAUCUAAAGCUAAAUAUUGGCGAGAGACCGAUAGCGAACAAGUACCGUGAGGGAAAGAUGAAAAGCACUUUGGAAAGAGAGUUAAACAGUACGUGAAAUUGCUGAAAGGGAAACGCUUGAAGUCAGUCGCGUUUGCUAGGACUCAGCCUUGCCUCGGCUUGGUGCACUUCCUAGUAGACGGGCCAGCAUCACUUUUGGCUGCGGGAGAAAGAUCAGAGGAAUGUGGCACCUUCGGGUGUGUUAUAGCCUCUGGUUGUAUGCCGUGGCUGGGAGUGAGGAUCUCAGCACGCCUUAUGGCGGGGCUUCGGCCACCUUCGUGCUUAGGAUGCUGGCGUAAUGGCUUUAAACGACCCGUCUUGAAACACGGACCAAGGAGUCUAACAUGCCUGCGAGUGUUUGGGUGGAAAACCCGAGCGCGUAAUGAAAGUGAAAGUUGGGAUCUCUGUCGUGGAGAGCACCGACGCCCGGACCAGACCUUCUGUGACGGAUCCGCGGUAGAGCAUGUAUGUUGGGACCCGAAAGAUGGUGAACUAUGCCUGAAUAGGGUGAAGCCAGAGGAAACUCUGGUGGAGGCUCGUAGCGAUUCUGACGUGCAAAUCGAUCGUCAAAUUUGGG
rnacentral:rRNA from 1 species